rnacentral:lncRNA from 1 species
UUUGCUACCGAUGAGCCUGUAGCCAAGCCAAUGACUCAUUGCUUAUCUGCAAAAUGGGGUUAAUGUUAUGUACUUCAUGGUAUUGUGGUGUUGAUUGUUAAGUUAAUAUGCAGGAAAUAAACAAACACCGUGGCCUCCAAGAGUGAUACAUACAUAUAUACAUACACACACACACACACACACACAAAUCUCUUCAUGUAGGUGAGUUAAAACAUUAGUGUUUAAGUUCCAUUGCCAUCUGAGGGCUGCAUCGGAAGAAUCUAAAAGUAGUACUUAGAGGGCUGGGGAUGUAGCUCAGUGGUAGAGCACUUGCCUAGCAUAUAUGAGGCCCUGGGUUCUAUUCCCAGCAAUGCACACACACACACACACACACACAAUUGAUACUUAUAGCAAGUUUAAAAUACUUGAAGUCACGGUAACAUAGGACACUUUUCUGCUUCAGGUAGAGCUGAAAAGGACAUUUCACUGUUUGGGUAAGGGAAGACACCCAUUGAGAUGACAUCAGUUUGUGCAAUGUGUCACAUAGCUAAUGACUAGAAUAAGAUGCCCUAAUUCUAAGAUCAAGACCUCUUUCAUUAGACCCUAAGACCUUGCUGGCUUUGAGCCCAAGUUGAACUGGCUCCUGAAAACCUGC